AAACAAACCCCAGCAGCUCGAUUGGAUUUGAGAUUGGAAAUCCGAACCCUAUUCAGAGAGAUCCAAAUCGGCCCAAACAAACCCAAUCAGCUCUUUUGCUCGUCGUCCGGUCCGUCUCUCUUCUCCACGGCACACACCGCCGCCGCCGCAUCCGGCAUCAGCUAGGGUUUGCGCUGCCGUCGUCGAGGAUGGACGCGCAGCGGGCUCUGCUGGACGCGCUGAUGGGUUCGUCGAGGAACCUGACGGAGGAUGAGAAAAAGGAUCACCGGGAGGUGGGGUGGGACGACCCCGACGUCUGCGCCCCCUACAUGGCCCGCUUCUGCCCGCACGACCUCUUCAUCAACACCAAGAGCAACCUUGGCAAUUGCCCCAAGAUCCACGACCCAAUCCUCAAACAAAGUUUCGAGGACUCCCCGAGGUAUGCUGCCAUCCUGCCCAAAUUCGAGGCGGAGCUCGCGCACCGCUGUGAGAAGCUGGUGCUGGACCUUGACAGGAAAAUCAGGCGUGGCCGAGACAGGCUUGCUCAAGAAGUCGAAUUACCGCCUCCUGCCCACGGUGACAAGUCCGAGCAGCUCUCCAUGCUCGAAGAGAAGAUCAAGAAGCUGCUGGAGCAGAUCGAACAGCUCGGCGAGUCUGGCAAAAUUGACGAAGCUACAGCGCUUAUGAGGAUGGUUGACGUUCUGAAUCUCGAGAAGGCGGCUCUGACCAACCAGAUAGAGAAUAAGGCCCUCAUGAUCCCGCAGGAGAAGAAGAUGGAGCUUUGCGAGCAAUGUGGUUCGUUCUUGGUGACCAAUGACGUCCUCGAGAGGACGCAAUCCCAUGUUACCGGCAAGCAGCACAUCGGUUAUGGUCUCGUCAGGGAUUUUCUUGCGGAAUACAAGGCUGCAAGAGAAGAGGAGAGGCUUGCGAGGGAGAAGGAAGUGGACGAGCGCCAGAGUCAGAGGGAGAGAGGGUCUUACCACAACGGAGGCCGACGUGACGUACCUAGGGAGAGACCUGGUAGAGAGCAUGAUCGUGACCGGUACUGUGAGCGCCACCGUGACAGGGGGAGGCCCUAUGAGCAUGCAGGCAGAGGGUCAGACUAUAGAGGCGGUUCCUACAACAACCGGAGAGAUUACGAAAGGGAGAGGCACAGAGACGGUAGGAAUGGUGAUGCAAGAAGGAACAUGGGGAGAAUGAGGAGCAGAUCACGGUCUCCGGGCAGGCACGGUUAUUAAAUCAUUAUGAAGAAGGCCAGGCAAUUAGUUCGAGUUAUCAGACUUGCGAGGUUGUGUUUUCAGUCUAGGAACUGAAAAAUUGUUAUGCAAAUAGAGCUGAAAGCCGUAUGGCAGGUAUUCCAUAACCUCUCUGUCUUAUACAUGUUAAAACUGGAAUUGAUAUGUAUGGUUGGGUAGGACCUGGAAGCAUUAGCCGGAGGUGUUUGUGGUGGAAGAACAGGUAACAAUUUAAACAAAUGGUUUAUUUGAGUAAUAUAAACUAGUGUAACAGCAGCUACUAAACUAAUUGGUUGACUUGAGGUAGCACUAGGCCAAGGUAUUUGGGGAGAAGAACAGGUAACACGCUACUACACUAAUUGGCUGUUUUGAGUAAUAAACUAACGCAACAGCAGCUACUAGCUAAAUGCUCCAAGCACUCUAAUCACCAUACCAGAUGUUUGCAUGAUUUGCUUGUUCUGUUUUGUGCUUGGGCUGUUGCUGCCUCGGCAGUGCUGAUCCAUCUCUGGCAGCUGCCCUUCCUCAUGUCGCUCACCUAGGACAUCGUUUUUUUUAUAACCCUGUCUUGUACAUUUAAUUUUCACUGCCAGUGUAGAUAUUGUGUGUAUUACACCAUACAUUUCCUCUUUAUGAAGAGAAAUCUACGGGGUAUUAUCUUCAGAUACGGCGGCCAUUAGUAUCUGCAGUAGGGGGUUUCUUUGAAUCGGUAAAGAUGGUGAUUGUCGACAUUGGAGAUUAUCUUACCGGAAGAUUUGAUGUAACCCGUGCUGUUUUUGAAUUACAAACAUCAUUAGAUCAUGUGUGUGGAAUUCUUCAAGCAAAUCAUCCAAUUGUGUGCAUGCUUAUUCUUCGAGUUUGCUUGAAAUGUUUUGGAGUAUUUGGAGUUGUAUUGCCAAUAAUUGUUCCUGACGUUGACGACUAAGACCAAUCUUACCGUUGAACGUGCAGGAGGUCUGGUAUAAAAUGAGUUUGAAAAUACGGUAUGUUUGUUGGCAGAUGUGCAAGUGCAAAGCACAGUCCUAAUUGCAUUUGUUUGUUCCACGACAAAGUAGUUUGCUCCACAUCGUAUAAUGAUGAAAUCUGGUGAAUUCGUAGCAACACCAUUUGGCUUACACAAGGAUUUCUGAACAGCCCUGAUGUAACCUCUGUAUAUGUCUGUUUUACAUGUUAAGCUGGAAUUUAUAUACUCCGUCACAUAUUAGGUGUCGGACCCUUUUUUUUUUUGCGAUAACCCCCCCUAAGAUUUCCUGGCCAAGCAAUUCUUUGCUCUCGUCGACGGCGCUGCUUCCCCUCCGCCUCUCGAGGCUGCUUCCCCUCUGCCCCAUGCUCCCUCCUUGCGCGCGACGUUUGCCUCCCUCUUUCUCUCGCGUUGUGGUGCCCUGUGCCUCAUCCUCUCGUGCCCACUGGGUUAAUGCUUAAAAUGAGGAUUUUUCUACUCGUGGUGGUGGUGGUGCCGGUGUGGAGGAGCUCAAUUCGAGUUGGUGGCCGGCGGAGAUCCAAUCACUCUGGUGCUGCUCGUGGCGGCACGGCGGAGCUCCAAUCUGGUGUUGUUGCUGGAUCCAGCCAAGGUCGUGGUAAAAAUGGCCUCUUUGCUGGCGCGACAUGAGCGGUAGCGGGUGGGUGCAGUUGUGGGAGAACAAGGCGUGGUUGGCGGAUGCGGGCAUGGCCUUCGUCCAGAUCACGUGCGGCGGCUACCACGUCCUCACCAAGUCCGUCCUCAACGUCUACCACGACCUCGUCGCGCUCGCCAUCCUCGCCCCCGUUGCCUUCUUUCGAGGGUCAGUCCAGCUCUUACCAGAUGCACAUUUUGAGAGAUAAUUUUCAGAGUAGUUCAAACAAUUAGGCAACACACUAAUUUACAAAGCAACACACGUGAGAUGUGCUUGUGUAGAUAAACAAUACCCCUACUGCUGCUAGCCUAGGCAAAUUUACUUUGAAGCAGCUCAAUAACAAGCAUGAGAGGGAUAGGGAUUUGGUGCACAUGGGCACCAGUGCUCACUCCACUUCUCCACUUCUAUUUCUCCAAAAAUUAUGGCGCUAAAUAUGUAGAUAGAUAUGUACAGGAGAAGUCUACGCAAAAAAGUUCGAUAAAAAAUACUUUAAAUUUUGAGAAAUAGAAAAUAAACAAGUUUCUGACAAAAAGAUAUACUAUUUUAAUACUAUUGUACUACCAUUUACUGUCACAAAUUUGUCUUUUUUAUAUUUCUCAAAAUACAAUGUAUUUUUUUAACGGGACUUUUUUGCAUACCCCUACAAUACAUAUCUAUCUAUAUAUUUAACACCAUAAUAUUUAGAGAUAUAGAAGUGUGAGAUUUUAAAAAAAUUAAAAAUCUGAAAUUGGAUGGAGCGCUGGUGCCCACGUGUGAAAGACACUUUCUGGCAUUAGAGGUCAUGUUCCUUUCUGGCCAAAUUUACAUGGUCUAUACUACUGCUCCUGCUGGUCACACCUGCUUGCUGGAGUACCCAUUUCGGGCCAAACUAGCGUCUGCCCAUGUAACUUCGCAUUCUAACACAGCACAUACAGUUUUGAUGGUUGGAGAGUGUUUCAGCACACUUGAUAUGGCUCACUUCGCAACCUUCCAGGAGUACUGUACUUUUGCUUUGCUUGUCGAAAAGCUUAUGUUUGGGGUAGAAAUUUUGGAGUAGCUUAAAUUGGUUGAUACCUGCAAAACACUGGAUCUAAGCAUUGAUGUAUGGGUUUCUGAUUGUGAUGAAAGUACAUCACUCCUGGAACCUGAAAUGUCUUUGUUAUACUCCAGUAGAACAGUCCAACCUGAAUUGUCUUUGUUAUUCUACACUACAGUAGAUGGGAAAAUUUUGGUCUGUUCUACUGGUACUACUGGAGUAUUAGCUGCUUGUUUAUCUUAGUAAAAAGUUUAACCAGGGUAAACAUAUGGGUAUCCUGCUGGAUGAAACUACUGGAGUAUCCAGUGAUUAAAUAUCUUGCAAAAAACCAAAGUGCCUUUUCUGUAAUUGAUGAUAUACUCUGUUAACAUUAUAUCCAGCCCAUGUACAGUCAUAAUCAUAAGUUCAUAACCAAAGUGCCUUUCUGGAGUAGAUCCAGGAAUGUGAUAAAUUUCAGUAUAGGGAACUGAGGGAUUCCUGCUUUAGGCGUUUUGUGAUAGUGCAUUCUUUCUUCGUGCAGACACCAUGCCCCUGGUUUCUUCACCUUAUGUUUAGGCACCAAGUGAGUAUCCUCCUCACCUGUAAAUGAGACAUGCCCUCAUCAAAUGAGUAAAAUAAAACGUAAAAAAUAGUAGCUUCCUAUAACAGCUGCGAUAGUUUCUAAUGGUGUUGGUCGAUAGGCUUCUACGUCUGCGAUAGCAAGCCACUCUCUGUUUGUGCGAUAGCAAACCUAUACAAGCGCAUGGAGGAGGUGUGAUGUAUGAUGAGAGGACCGAGACCUACUUCUGGUAUGGAGAAAAUAAGGAUGGCAAGACAUACAGAGCUCACACCAAGGGAGCCGAUCGAAUUGCAGGUACCAGAUCAAAGACGUUGCAGCAGGUUGCUGAUCCGCUUCAUCAGCGUCAGACCCGUUGACGCGGACGCAGGAGGCGAACGGAGACCAGCGGCGAGGGACGAGCUUGAGGGAGUGGCCGGCGGGGCAGGGAUGCAGGCAUGGCCGCCGGGGUGGGAGGAGAUGCUAGCCAGGCGGCACUGGCCUCCUUGAGGCGGACGCAUGGGGCGGGGAGGGGAGCUGGAGCGGAGACCGGCAGCAGGAGGCCAGCGGCGGGAGGAGAUCUCGGGAGGGGAGGGGGCCAGCAUCUGGUACAUGGUUGGGUAAGACCUGGAAGCAUUAGGUGGAGGUAUUUUUGGCAGAAGAACAGGUAGCCUUAUAGCACUGCCAGUUCUUCAGACAAGAACAUUACUAUGAAUUAUGAAGUAGCUACUAGGUGUUUCUUUCAAACUUUUGACUUCUUACCAGAGGAAAUUUAAAGUUUUGAAGUUGUAUUGGCAACAAGACCAAUCUUACCAAGUAUGCUGGCACUGUUGUAAUAUCAUUGCAUCCACCAAGCAUAAUCGUAAGCAAAUUUACAGCUCA